UUAGAUGAAACCAAAAUAGAGGUAAAUUAUUGUUAAUAAUUCAAAUGAAAAUUAAAUUCCAUCUAAA
rnacentral:tRNA from 1 species